rnacentral:misc_RNA from 1 species
UCCUGUUUUGUACAGGCAGUCUGUUUAGAGUGCUCGCCUUGCGGCGGUGGCAACUAAACACAGGGGUUGCGUUCGUUGCGGGACUUAACCCAACACCUCACGACACGAGCUGACGACAGCCAUGCAGCACCUGUGUUCCCGCCAGCCGAACUGAAGGAUUUCAUCUCUGAAACCCAUACGGGACAUGUCAAGGGCUGGUAAGGUUCUGCGCGUUGCUUCGAAUUGAACCACAUGCUCCACCGCUUGUGCGGGCCCCCGUCAAUUCCUUUGAGUUUUAGCCUUGCGGCCGUACUCCCCAGGCGGGGCACUUAAUGCGUUAGCUACGGCACGGAACCCGUUGACAGGGUCCCACACCUAGUGCCCAACGUUUACGGCGUGGACUAC